rnacentral:rRNA from 1 species
AUUGAACGCUGGCGGCAGGCCUAAUACAUGCAAGUCGAGCGGAGCGGCGGACGGGUGAGUACUGCCUAGGAAUCUGCCUGGUAGUGGGGGAUCCCGUCCGGAAACGGGCCCUAAUACCGCAUACUAUCAGAUGAGCCUCGGUCGGAUUAGCUAGUUGGUGGGGUAAUGGCUUACCAAGGCGACGAUCCGUAACGGGUCUGAGAGGGUGAUCAGUAACACGGGAACUGAGACACGGGCAAGACUCCUACGGGAGGCAGCAGUAGGGAAUAUUGGACAAGGGGCGAAAGCCUGAUCGAGCCAUGCCGCGUGAGUGAAGAAGGUUUUCGGAUUGUAAAGCACUGUAAGUUGGGAAGCGGUACCAACAGAAUAAGCACCGGCUAACUUCGUGCCAGCAGCCGCGGUAAUAC